UUUCUGAAGUUUUCCCAGUGAGCCAGAACAUAGAUAUAUUUAUCAGUGAAUUGUUACAUUUGGUAUUGUGCAGCAGAGGCCCUUUGAAUAGAUAGGAAGAAACUGUGAUGAAGUGUUUUGUGGGGACAAGUCACAAAAGUGAUUGUGCUGAUUUUGGUAUUGGGCUGAAUGUGCAUGAUAUCUGCUGGAGGGGCGAGGGGCCACUAGGGGCGCAUCGGAAGAUGGCUGACAAUAACAUCUCUCUGACCCACAGGGGGUAAUUAGGAGGCUGUGAUGGGAGUAAUUAGCCUCCCUACCCCCCCAGGAUUGUGGGAGGGAGGCUGCCCGGGCCUGCUGUGCCCUAUACCACUCCCGAAUUUGAGGGGAUGGGGGCACUAGGCAGAAUGCCCCCCUGUGGAUCUCGGUGCUUCUGGACGCCAUCCCUGAUCUGCGCCGCUAGCUGCAAGAACUUCAAAAGGAACAAUUAGGAAGAAGCGAAUGCACAUAUUUCAAGGAAGGAGGGGGAGUAAAGACUGCUAACUGAAGAGUUCUCUGAUAUGCAAGACGAGUCGGAAGAAUAAGAAUCAAUCAUGAGAAGACAGCUAAGACUCGGUAUGGCAAAGGGACUGAUGGGGGAGGGGGAAAAAACCUUUCUUUCUUUCCUCUAUGUGAUAAAACAAGAACCCCCCCCCCUCACAAGUCAGAAAUGCCGCUUUAAUGACUUAAGCUGUGGAUUUACGUCUGUGUGGAGAUAACUUUUCUAACCAAAGCAUGUUUUAAGAAGAGCGUGGAAAGUUUAAGAGCUCUGGAAUGAUGCAGUUAAAAAUACCGUCGCCAUAUUGGUAAGCUCUGUUGGAGGACUUGAGUCUGGGAGGAGAAAAAGAGCUGUUUUUAUACUGUGGGUGAGACUCCUCAGUGGGACUCAAAAACGACAGAUCCUGAGAUGGAAUGAUGGAAAGAGCGAUGUUAUUUAUGAAAGUGAUGAUAUAUGGAAACCAUCACGAUAUGAGGAUUGGUCGAACGGAAAAAUCCACACAAGAUAUAAUUGGUGUUUAUCUGCUUAAGGAUAUUAUCAGAAGAGAUCAUAAAAAAAAGAAAAAUGUACGAAUAAGAGGAGAUGUGGAAACAGCAAGAUAAGACUGGAUAGGAUUAUGAACUUUAUUUGGACUGAUUUGGAUAUGAACGCAGUAGCAAGAAGAUGAUUGGAAUCCCCCUUCGAAACUUGAAAUAUUGGUCCCCUCAACAAAAAUUUAAAAUUCGGCUUUGUAAUUCGGAAUUUAUGUGAUGUGAUUUGAUUGGUCGGUUAAUAAUUUUUUUAAAAAAAAAAGAUAUCUGCUGGAGGGGCAACCCCCCCCAACCUAUACAUAAAUUCCUGCAACAGCAUGCACACGAAAGCUAAUACCAAGAACAAACUUAGUUGGUCUCUAAGGUGCUACUGGACAAUUUAUGUUUUUUAUUUUUAUUUUAUUUUGACUGCAAGAACCUUGUUCCCUUUGCCCUACAGCUAUAGAAGGUUCUCCGCCCAUGGUGUGCAGGAUUGCUUGGUUAAUUCUUCCUUGCAAAUGUAAUUUUGUUUUGCCAGGCCUGUUUAAGUAUAAGUACUGCAUAAGGUAUAAACUUAUAGACUCAGAUUAAGUGCCGACGUACACUUUCUAUGCUGAAUUUGUUUAUGGUUUUCAGUUUCCGUUUUCUUCACCCACCCUGUCAACUUUGACUGUUCAGCAAAAGUGUUCAGCUGGAAACAAAACCUCGCUGAAACUGCUAGAUGCCAGGAAGUUGAGUAAUCUGAAACCUUGCCCUACGAAUCUGACACCCCGUUUUCCACCCUGGAGAGAUCCCAGCGAGAGUCGCCACUGCCUGAGAGAACAGUCUGUUCCUAAACAUUUAUCUCAAUCAUAUUGAUAGAAACUCUUGAGAUAAGUCAUUUGGGUGUGGCCAACAAAUGCAUUCCCUAUAGUAUGCAGCUUGCCCUUGGCUCCUCCAGAAAAUACCUGGAGAUUAAGAGACGACACACCAUGGCAACUAAUUUUUAUUGUAAAAACCAGCUUGCCUUCCUUUGAUCCAACAGCAAAUGAUUAGUAGUACAUCUCAACAACUCAACCUGAUUAACAAUGGUAAAGUGGAUAAUCUGUCAGCUUUUCGUAAUAUGAAGAUAGUUUUAAUAUAUUCUUAAACACUAUGCAAUCUGAGCCUAAGGUGGAGGUGCUCACAGCAUUAACACCGCAACAGAACUGGCUUCUCCACUAGUCACAGCUUUGGGUCUGGCAUAAAUCAAGCAUGUCUCUGUUUCCUAGGGUCUCAGCCUCCUUUCUGUUCAGCUCCCACACAACUGCCCAGGUUUUUGUCCUUCUAACUACCAGGCCACUCAUUUGCCGUCCGGAGCAGAGCAAAGUAUUUGCUUAUAUGAAUGAAGGCACUUAAAUGGCAAGCUAAGUCCAUUAUCUUAUAAUUGCCUAGUUGGAAACAGAACCCUCCACCAUCUUUUAAGCCUUACUGAGUACAGGACCCCAAGAAUUGGAGGUGACUCACAGCAUCACACAGAUGGACCCCACCUCAAACCUGCUACUAUAUGUACAACCAUUUCCUGAUCCUAAACAUGUUUACACACAAAUGUUUCAAUGAAUUUAAUGGGAUUGGCUUUCCCAUGAGCACAGGACUCACUUAAAAUAGCCACCACUGCACUACAGUACACUAGCAGCUUACAUCAGAUCGGGUUGCCAUAUGUCUUGGAAUUCCCGUACAUGUCCUCUUUUGGAGGUCCUACAUGCCCAUCUGGGGGAAUUUUACAUUUUAAAGCAAAUGUCCUGGAUUUAGGGUUUGUUUAUUAAAAAUUGUGCACUGGUGUCUCUGGUUCAGGCUCUGGCAUGUGUGACUUGGGCUUGGCAGCAGCAGCAGGGUUAUCAGCAAAACUAAACUUCUAGCAGUAAUGUGGAAAACAUAAUGAGAACAAUUGGAAAGGGAGCACAAAAGUCGCACCUACUAUAUAGAUUUCAAGAGACCACCACCACCACCAAACAUUUACUGUAUAUAUGUCGCACUUGAUGAUGCCCUCAUCUUAGUGUGUUGAAGGCACGAAUCAACACAUGACAAAAGUGGAAAUACCACAGUUACCUUAUUUGGCCCAUUCCACAUCCUCUCCAGAAAGCCAGAAAGUUUUGUAUUUCUUUUGUGCUUGCAUAAGCAAUAAAACAGUGCCAAUCUGCCACAAAAGAAUCUUCUUAUUUUUUUACUUUAGCCAGAUGUACCCGUAUUUUUCGCACCAUAGGGUGCACUGGACCAUAGGGUGCACCCAGUUUUUAGGGGGGGAAAUCAAGAAAAAAAAUCUUCCCCCCCCCCAGCCCCAAAGAGCAGCGUACAGGCUGCGCACAACCUCUCCCUGCCGGAGGGGUUGCGCGCAGCUAUGGAAGACGCCAAGUUUUAGCUUCCCCUUUAGCCCCGUGCAGCCUCUCCAUGCCGGGAGACGCUGCGCAGGGCUAAAGAAUCCAUAGCCCCGUGCAGCCUCUCCUUGCCGGAGGGGUUGCGCGCAGCUAUGGAGCAAGUCAAGGCAGGGGGCGGGAUGGAUCCCGCUUGCUGUUUUGGUUUCCCCUUUAGCCCCGUGCAGCCUCUCCUUGCCAUGAGACGCUGCUCAGGGCUUUCCUGGCUUUACUGGGAGGUGGGGGGAUUCCCCCACCUCUCGCAAAAGCCCGCAGAAGCCACGCAACCCCUUUAAAGAGAUCGCGGCUUCUCCUGGCUUUUCUGGGAAGUGGGGGAAUUCCCCCACCUCCCGCAAAACCGGCAGAAGCCGCGCGCACUUUAAAAGGGCUGCAUGGCUUCUGUGGGCUUUCCUGGGAGGUGGGGGGAUUCCCUCACCUCUCGCAAAAGCCCGCAGAAGCCGCGCAACCCCUUUAAAGAGAUCGCGGCUUCUCCUGGCUUUUCUGGGAGGUAGGAGAAGGGACUGAUGCGGCCAGUCAGUCCCUUCUCCCUCCUGUGGAAAAGCCCGCAAGAGCGCACGGAGCCUGUGUGCGGCUCUUGGGGGCUUUUCCCGCCUGCCUCCCCCCUGCAUUCGCUCCAUAGGAUGCACACACAUUUUCCCUUGCUUUUUAGGAGGGAAAAAGUGCAUCCUAUGGUGCGAAAAAUACGGUAAAUUAUUUUCCCACCAAAACGAGUUGCCAAUCCAUCUUAUGUCGCUUAAUUAACAUGGCAUCCUCUAGGUCCUUCCAAUAUUGAGCAACAACGAGCCAGGCAGUUGCAAGAAUAAUAAGUUUGAAAUUGCAACCCCCAUUGUCGUUUUGAAAAUCCUGGCCAGUUCCCGAGAGUUCAACAGCUGCUGUCCAGUCAUUUUGGUAAAUUUUGCAAAGACCGUAUUCCAAAAUGGCAACACGUUUUUGACAAGUCCACCACGUAUGCUGGAAUGACCCCCGUGCCUAAAUUAUUUCCAGCUCUCCUACCCCACUCCUGGCAAAAAAAAAUCAGGGCGUGGGGCUUUGGAUGCUGCCCUGCCCUAGGAGUCAGCUGGCUCAUGGAGAAGCACAGGAGCCAGAAGACAGGCGGGUCGGCUGGCAGCUCCUCGCUCUCUUCCCUGCUCUCUCCCUUCCUCCUCCCAUGCAUACCUCAAGCCACCAAGUCAAUGGCAGCAGUAGACAGGCAUUGACAAGUCCGCCGCCUCGGCUCCAGUGGGGAAAUGCACCCCCUGUGCGCAAGGGCUCCUCUUAAGGAAGGUUCCCAUUAUAAGCACAAGUGUUGGCUCCUCCCCGCUGCUCUGCGGCGCUGACUCAGAGGGAAAGCAGACCAUAUUAACUAUUGCCCUUCUUUUUUCUUCCCUUCCCUUCAUAGGAAUCUAUCUUCUCCAGAAUCCAUUGGCCUAUCUACCGCAGCAUUGAGGAGUCUUAAUCGUGGC